rnacentral:lncRNA from 1 species
UAAGUCCCACUUUUCUUUCUCGUUUAUGGGAAUAAAUAUGAAAAUUUCAAGAGCCUUGGAAUUCGAGUUAGUGGAGUUUUCUACAUUCCCCACAAACAUGCCCUUAACCAGACUAGACUACAAUUUUAAAACUACACUAGCCCCCUCCCCCUUUCUUCUAUGUAUGUGUAUAAUCAAAAGGGUUUCAUAUUCAACCAAAAAGCUACACUCUUGCCUUUAUAAGGGACUCGUAAUGGCCCCUCCUCUCAUAUCUACAUUCACUUUUCUUUCUAUGGUCUCACUUUCUUGAUAGCUUAGCCAACUUCGGCCAGAUUUUCUCCAUCUCAUUGUUCCUCUGCCAUUUCAUAGUUUUCCUUUUUCCUGGUAGCAAUAUGAUUGGUUGCGACUCCUCUGGUGGUGGUGGUGGUGGAGGAGGAGGAGGAGGAAUAUGGUGGUGGCAGCCGUGGCGGAGGCGGAGGAAGGUAGAAAUGUAAAUAAGUCUGAAAGCCAACAACAAACAAAAGGCUUAGCAAUUUUGCUCUCCUUAAGUGCAAAACUUGGAGAGCAUUAUUGCUUUGCGGGGAAUUGAGGGUAGCGGUCCGAAUUUACCUUUUUAACCUUAGCUUGGUUCUGUUUUUACAUAUUUGUCCUUGGUUUGCUUUGUUGUUAUUAAUCAGAUAAAAGAUGGGAUGUAAGAGAUGCAUACCAGGUAAGCUUCAAGAAGGGUUAAGCAGUUAGUUAUUGGGGUUCUAGUUUGGGGUUGGGUUUGGAAUAUUUGUCAAAGGUUUGGGCAUUUAUGGAAAUGCCUUGUUUUGCUGCUGCUGGGCAUGCAUCCCUUACACCUAUAAUAUGUAUUUGCUUUGUCUUGAAUUAGAUAUAACAAAGUUGUAAUCCUGCUUUUUACUAUGUUAUCUCUUCUGCUUUUGCUUUAUUAUAUUGAUGAAAAGUCAUGUAAUUUGAGUGAAAAGACAUUAUUGGGUGUCUGUUAAUUUUACUUUGCUUUCUUUGUUUGGGAGACGAGCUAGUUUGAUAGGACUAUAUUAAAAAUCCUAAAAAUGUUUUAUUGUAAUAUAUAGGACAAAAGUAUAAAUCAUUACAGGACAGAAAAGUUGGCCAUAUUAUUCUCUACCCUUUUAUUUCUCCUACUAGUGGCUUUUGGUCUAAGCAUGGAAAGAUGCAACUACGUGAAUCAACAAAGAAAAUAAGGUUUACACUAUUUCCGUCGCUAACAAUUAAAGUAUCAACUUAUGAACGUAUAACCUCUUACUUGAGAGCAAAUCGAGAAAAGAUAAAAAUAAGUAAUCGAUAGACAACCGGCGAAACUUGAAGAUCUAGUCAAAUUGUAUAGUGGAUAAAGA